GGAUCAAUAUGUUGGUCGUGCCUUGGUACGUACUAGCUUAUUGAUUUCUUCCUUCUGACGAACCAUGAUGUCAUUAAUUUGGUGUCAUGAGGAAUCAGGACUGUUACUUUGAAAAAUUAGAGUGUUUAAAGCAGGCUCACGCUUGAAUACAUUAGCAUGGAAUAAUGAAAUAGGACGUUUGAUUCUAUUUUGUGGUUUCUAGGAUCGACGUAAUGAUUAAUAGGG
rnacentral:rRNA from 1 species